rnacentral:rRNA from 1 species
AUUGAACGCUGGCGGCAGGCCUAACACAUGCAAGUCGAGCGGAUGAAGUGAUCUUGCUCCUGGAUUCAUCGUCUGCCUUUUUAUUACUGCCUAGUAAUCUGCCUGGUAUUUUUUUAUAACUUCCUUAAACGUUCUCUAAUACCUCAUACGUCCUUAUUUAUAAAGUGUGUUAUCUUCUUACCUCACUCUAUCAUAUGAUCCUAUUUCUUAUUAUCUAGUUGGUGGGUUAAAGGCCUACCAAUGCGACGAUCCGUAACUGGUCUGAGAGGAUGAUCAUUCACACUGGAAAUGAGACAAGGUACAGAAUACUAAGGGAGGACGCAGUGGGGAAUAUUGGAACAUGGGCGAAAGAAUGAUCCAGACAUGCCGCGUGUGUGAAGAAGGUAUUAGGAUUGUAAAGCACUUUAAGUUGGGAGGAAGGGAAGUAAGUUAAUAACUUGCUGUUUUGACGUUACCAACAGAAUAAGCACCGGCUAACUUCGUG